rnacentral:rRNA from 1 species
AGCAGCCGCGGUAAUUCCAGCUCCAAUAGCGUAUAUUAAAGUUGUUGCAGUUAAAAAGCUCGUAGUUGAAUUUCGGGGUUAGUAGAUUGGUCGUGCCACGGGUAUGUACUGGUCUUACUGAUUCCUCCUUCCUGAUGAACCGUAAUGCCAUUAAUUUGGUGUUGCGGGGAAACUGGACUGUUACUUUGAAAAAAUUAGAGUGUUUAAAGCAGGCUAACGCUUGAAUACAUUAGCAUGGAAUAAUGAAAUAGGACGUUCGAUCCUAUUUUGUUGGUUUCUAGGAUUGACGUAAUGAUUAAUAGGGAUAGUUGGGGGCAUUAGUAUUCAAUUGUCAGAGGUGAAAUUCUUGGAUUUAUUGAAGACUAACUACUGCGAAAGCAUUUGCCAAGGAUGUUUUCAUUAAUCAAGAACGAAAGUUAGGGGAUCGAAGACGAUCAGAUACCGUCGUAGUCUUAACCAUAAACUAUGCCGACUAGGGAUCGGAUGAUGUUAAUUUUUAAUGACUCAUUCGGCGCCUUAC